rnacentral:rRNA from 2 species
GACGAACGCUGGCGGCGUGCCUAAUACAUGCAAGUCGAGCGGACAGAAGGGAGCUUGCUCCCGGACGUUAGCGGCGGACGGGUGAGUAACACGUGGGCAACCUGCCCCUUAGACUGGGAUAACUCCGGGAAACCGGAGCUAAUACCGGAUAAUCCCUUUCUCCACCUGGAGAGAGGGUGAAAGAUGGCUUCGGCUAUCACUAGGGGAUGGGCCCGCGGCGCAUUAGCUAGUUGGUAAGGUAACGGCUUACCAAGGCGACGAUGCGUAGCCGACCUGAGAGGGUGAUCGGCCACACUGGGACUGAGACACGGCCCAGACUCCUACGGGAGGCAGCAGUAGGGAAUCUUCCGCAAUGGACGAAAGUCUGACGGAGCAACGCCGCGUGAGUGAGGAAGGCCUUCGGGUCGUAAAGCUCUGUUGUGAGGGAAGAAGCGGUACCGUUCGAAUAGGGCGGUACCUUGACGG